UACGUAGGGUGCAAGCGUUGUCCGGAAUUAUUGGGCGUAAAGGGCGCGUAGGCGGUUUGUUAAGUCAGCUGUGAAAGCCCGGGGCUCAACCCCCGGAGGGUCAGCUGAUACUGGCAGACUAGAGUACAGAAGAGGUAACUGGAAUUCCUGGUGUAGCGGUGAAAUGCGUAGAUAUCAGGAGGAACACCGGCGGUGUAGACGGCUUUCUGGACCAUUACUGACGCUGAGAUACGAAAGCGUGGGUAGCAAACAGG
rnacentral:rRNA from 1 species